rnacentral:rRNA from 1 species
ACCCGCUGAACCUAAGCAUAUCAAUAAGCGGAGGAAAAGAAACCAACAGGGAUUGCCUUAGUAACGGCGAGUGAAGCGGCAACAGCUCAAAUUUGAAAGCUGGCCCUUUCGGGGUCCGCGUUGUAAUUUGUAGAGGAUGAUUCGGCGAGGGCUCCCUCCUAAGUCCCCUGGAACGGGGCGUCAUAGAGGGUGAGAAUCCCGUAUGCGGUGGGUUGCCUUAGCCAUGUGAAUCUCCUUCGACGAGUCGAGUUGUUUGGGAAUGCAGCUCUAAAUGGGAGGUAAAUUUCUUCUAAAGCUAAAUACCGGCCAGAGACCGAUAGCGCACAAGUAGAGUGAUCGAAAGAUGAAAAGCACUUUGGAAAGAGAGUUAAAAAGUACGUGAAAUUGUUGAAAGGGAAGCGCUUGCAACCAGACUUGUCCGCAGUUGCUCAGCCGGUCUCCUGACCGGCGUACUCUUCUGCGGCCAGGCCAGCAUCAGUUCGGGCGGUCGGAUAAAGGCCUCGGGAAUGUAGCUCCUCUCGGGGAGUGUUAUAGCCCGGGGCGGAAUGCGGCCAGCCUGGACUGAGGAUCUCGCUUCGGCAAGGAUGCUGGCGUAAUGGUUGUAAGCGGCCCGUCUUGAAACACGGACCAAGGAGUCUAACAUCUAUGCGAGUGUUUGGGUGUCAAACCCAUACGCGUAAUGAAAGUGAACGGAGGUGGGAACCCGCAAGGGUGCACCAUCGGCCGAUCCUGAUGUCUUCGGAUGGAUUUGAGCAAGAGCAUAGCUGUUGGGACCCGAAAGAUGGUGAACUAUGCCUGAAUAGGGUGAAGCCAGAGGAAACUCUGGUGGAGGCUCGCAGCGGUUCUGACGUGCAAAUCGAUCGUCAAAUUUGGGUAUAGGGGCGAAAGACUAAUCGAACCAUUAAGAAAGUAGUUUUCGAGUCCU